rnacentral:rRNA from 1 species
CGGGCGUAGCAAUACGUCAGUGGCAGACGGGUGAGUAACGCGUGGGAACGUACCUUUUGGUUCGGAACAACUGAGGGAAACUUCAGCUAAUACCGGAUAAGCCCUUACGGGGAAAGAUUUAUCGCCGAAAGAUCGGCCCGCGUCUGAUUAGCUAGUUGGUGAGGUAAUGGCUCACCAAGGCGACGAUCAGUAGCUGGUCUGAGAGGAUGAUCAGCCACAUUGGGACUGAGACACGGCCCAAACUCCUACGGGAGGCAGCAGUGGGGAAUAUUGGACAAUGGGGGCAACCCUGAUCCAGCCAUGCCGCGUGAGUGAUGAAGGCCCUAGGGUUG